UCCCCGUUACCGGGGCAGUCUAGCUAGAGAAAUUCAACUAACUAUAAGGGUUGCGCUCGUUGAUGGACUUAACCAAACAUCUCACGACACGAGCUGACGACGGCCAUGCAACACCUGUCAUCUGGUUCCCGAAGGCACUUUCUCCUUUCGGAGAGAUUCCAGAGAUGUCAAACCUUGGUAAGGUUCUUCGCUUAUCGUCGAAUUAAACAACACGCUCCACCGCUUGUGCGGGUCCCCGUCAAUUCCUUUAUGUUUUAAGCUUGCGCUCGUACUCCACAGGCGGGAUGCUUAACGCGUUAGCUUCGCUACUACCGGGGUCGAUACCGAUAACAGCUAGCAUCCAUCGUUUACGGCUUGGACUA
rnacentral:misc_RNA from 1 species